rnacentral:rRNA from 1 species
UACAGAGGUCCCAAGCGUUGUUCGGAUUCAUUGGGCGUAAAGGGUGCGUAGGCGGAUUGCUAAGUCAGGGGUGAAAUCCUGGAGCUCAACUCCAGAACUGCCUUUGAUACUGGCGAUCUUGAGUCCGGGAGAGGUGAGUGGAACUGCGAGUGUAGAGGUGAAAUUCGUAGAUAUUCGCAAGAACACCAGUGGCGAAGGCGGCUCACUGGCCCGGUACUGACGCUGAGAUGCGAAAGCGUGGGGAGCAAACAGG